CCUACGGGAGGCAGCAGUGGGGAAUUUUCCGCAAUGGGCGAAAGCCUGACGGAGCAAUACCGCGUGAGGGAGGAAGGCUCUUGGGUUGUAAACCUCUUUUUUCAGGGAAGAUAAUGACGGUACCUGAGGAAUAAGCAUCGGCUAACUCCGUGCCAGCAGCCGCGGUAAUACGGAGGAUGCAAGCGUUAUCCGGAAUGAUUGGGCGUAAAGCGUCCGCAGGUGGUUUUAAAAGUCUGUUGUUAAAGCGUGAGGCUUAACCUCAUAAGGGCAAUGGAAACUGUAAGACUAGAGUACGUUCGGGGCAAGGGGAAUUCCCAGUGUAGCGGUGAAAUGCGUAGAGAUUGGGAAGAACACCGGUGGCGAAAGCGCCUUGCUAGGCCGUAACUGACACUGAGGGACGAAAGCUAGGGGAGCGAAUGGGAUUAGAUACCCCAGUAGUCCUAGCCGUAAACGAUGGAUACUAGGCGUUGUCUGUAUCGACCCGGACAGUGCCGUAGCUAACGCGUUAAGUAUCCGCCUGGGAGUACGCACGCAAGUGUGAACUCAAGGAAUUGACGGCUGAGANGCACGCGACACGAGGGAGUAG
rnacentral:rRNA from 1 species